GCGGGAGUAGUACAGGGGUAGUACGUCUCCUUGCCAAGGAGAAGGUCGCGAGUUCGAAUCUCGUCUCCCGCUCCA
rnacentral:tRNA from 1 species